rnacentral:lncRNA from 1 species
GCAAAUUGCCCAAGAAAAUGUUUAAUUUUCCAAAAUAUAUCAAUCGUAGGAAGUUGCGCAUCAAUGCCAUCAAGCGUACGAAUUCCACUCACAUUAAAGACUCAAGAGUUUGCCAAGCUCACUUUGAAGAAUCAAUGUUUCUGCAGAAGUCUUUGGAAUGAGGGUGGUGUUUGGUACAUAAUGCAAUUCCUACUCUAUUUGAACAUGUUAAGAUAAAGACAAACGAAAGCUUCCGUUUAACUGAAACAGAGACGCAGAAGAACUUCAAAGGAAGCAAAUAAUUAUAAUGUUAAAACAUGGGACAUCAAAUAAGGAAGAUUAUCCUGAUCACGAAGCUCAACCCCCAUUCUCAUCAGACAUUUUUAUUGGCGGCAAAUAAAUCCUUAUCUGCAAAAAUACGGCAUCUUCUUGCGAAACUUGCCAGGAACAAGGCUUCAAUAAUGUAAACUAAGAAAAGCCGUAAAAAGAUAUCGAAAAAGGUGGUCUGUAAAUGAUACUUUAGAAUAUUACUUGCAAAACUUUCUCGAAAGAGAUGAACAGAGGAACUUAAACAGUGAUUGAAUCACGAGUCAUCUCGGUGAUUGAAUCUUGUAAGUUUAAUUCUCUAAUUUUUUCUCCAAAAAAUUAGAAAAUUAAAUUUUUCCAAUUUCAAAUAUUACCGUUUUAGGGAAAAAAAUCAAA